UCAGACGUGGUGCAUGGCGCACCCCCACGCCACUUUCGUGUUGCAGAGACUUCGAAGUGGGUACACCGGGUUCAAUUCCCGGCGUCUGAA